GUAAUAUCUGGAGGAACACCAGUGGCGAAGGCGACGCUCUGGGCUGUAACUGACGCUAGAGCGCGAANGCGUGGGGAGCAAACAGGAUUAGAUACCCUGGUUAGUCCACGCCGUAACACGAUUGAGAUAGCUACGUGUUAGGGGUUAUCGACUACCCUUGGUGCCGAAGUUACACAUUAAGCAGCUCCGCCUGGGGAGUACGGUCGCAAGACUGAAACUCNCAGGAAUUGACGGGGACCCGCACAAGCAGUGAGCUAUGUGGUUAAAUUCGAAGCAACGCGAAGAACCUUACCAGGUCUUGACAUCCCUCUAUCGGUACAGAGAUUUAUCUUUCCUUCGGGACCAGAGCAGACAGGUGUGCAUGGUUGUCGUCAGCUCGUGUCGUGAGAUNNUUGGGUUAAGUCCCGCAACGAGCGCAGCCCUUGAUACUUAGUUGCCAGCACUUCGGAGUGGGCACUCUAGGUGACUGCCUGGUACAAACCGGAGGAAGGUGGGGAUACGUCAAUCAUCAUGCCCCUUAUGACCUGGGCUACACACGUACUACAAUGGCCGUACAACGGGCUGUGAAGCCGCAGGUGGAACGAAUCCCUAAAGAAGCCGGGUCUCAGUUCGGAUUGCAGGCUGCACUCGCCUGCAUUAAGUCCGAAUUGCUAGUAAUCGCGGAUCAGCAUGCGCG
rnacentral:rRNA from 1 species